UUCUGGCUCCUGUCCCAGGCCCACGCCCAGCCCGGGCACCCGGAGCUUGCCCCCGUCCUGUAGCUCUUUCUUUUUGGUGCCAAUGCCAAACCAGGAGGUGCGGGGAGAGGACACUUACCCUGAGAGUGCGGGCCUGUGAGCACUGCGGUUCUGCUUGUUCGUCGCAGAGAGCGGCUGGUGCCCAGCUGUGUGGGGUGAGUAGAGAAGAGGCAGAGUAAAGUUAAGUGAAAAAUUCUCUUGGAGAAGGGAAGCUGCAAAGCGUGGUUGGAAAAGCUGUUUGGGCUGGGUGAGAGAGUGGAGGUGGCUCUGCCAGCAGCUGUACAUCUUCUGGAGAUGCCAUGGGCCAUUAAGUAUCUGGGUAACUCUUGUUCCUUUGGAGAAGGGCUAGCCUUGUCACUUACUGGGAGUGGACAUUUAAUAAAUGUUACUGCUGUUGCUUCACCAGGGUCCAAGAGCAUUGCAGUAGUUUGAAACUAGCAGCACAAGAAAUACAGAUAGGACAAGCUCCCUGUCAGCAUUUUGUGGGACUUCCCAGGGGGCAGCUGGGAGGACCAUCAAGUCCCUGGUCUAGCAUGACCUUUGACCUUCACCAUGUGUCUGGAAAGUGGAAUGGCAAUGACAAUGUCUUUUCUCAACUCAUGUUACUGAAUCAAUUUCAAAUAUGUAGGUUUUGUGACUUUGUGCCAUCCCACCUGCCAUCCAUGACCUAGAGAUCUGUAUUUAGUUAGUGUCAGCACAUCUAUUUUCACUUUCUAAAGGCUGUACUGCUCACCUAGAGCUUGUGUCUGUACCCUGAGUAGAGCCUGGCUCCUGCAGGAGGCAGCAGUAUCUGACUCUGGAUGCACACUCCCAUUAGGCCUGCCAGCCUGGCGUCUGGCUCUUCUAAAUAGUUGGCACUUGGUUCAUGGGAGACAGCCUGUCCGAGCUCACUGCAACAGCUGGUGCCAGCCAGCUCUUCAAGGACUUGUGCCAGCAGCAGGAGGAGUGCGCCAGAGUCUGUUCAUCAAACAGACCAGCAGCAGUUCCAUGGCUGCCACCAAGGGACAAAGGGAAAGGCAGCAGGGCAAGUCCUUUUCAACAUGGCACCUUGUGGGAAUGGCAAGUAUGUGCCUUUUGAAAGAAGAUGCAUGCUGAUGGAUGAAGAGCUGCUGCAGGUCCUAGUGACCUCGAAGUUUUGGGAGCAUGUCUCACACCUUCGCUUAUGACACACCUUUAAUGGAUCAGAGGCGCUGCAGUUGCUUUACCUCUGUGGAGUGUUGCGUGUGUGCUUGGAGAUGACAUAGGAGGAUCUUCUAGCAAGUGCAAUGUUUUAGUCCAUACAGAAACUACAGUAGCCUACAGUGCUGAAGAGGGGAUUCUUGGAAAAGCAGCAAUCCCAAAUGAUCUGCAGCAGAGAUUGUUGGUUGAUCAGUGAAGCUUCCUUCACUUGGGACAGCACUGGGACUGUUGUACCAGUGAUAUUCAGCAAGUCCAGUGGGAUGUUGCAGAGGAGGACUCGUGAAGAUGACCCUCCUCUCCAAACCUGAAGAUGAAGCCAAGAACCAAGCAGUUAAACAACAAAUGACAGAUUUCAUAAAGGAUGAGUUAUAGCAGAAUAAUUUUUCCCUCUAAAUACAUUGUACUCCAUUCUUCAAUCCAGUAAUGUAUUUUUAUCUUUCUGAAAAGAUUUAAGAUAGCCCAAAGUGUGUAGAUGGCAUGUAGAAAGCAUUCCAGUUUGACAGAAGGUAGAAUUGAUUACUUUGCUGAGGGAAAGGGGGGGGAAAAAAAAAGGAGUUUUAUUUAAAUCAACUUUAAAGCUUUAUUUUAAAGGGUGGAUAUUGGUAGCUGGAGAAUACCCACUGCCUUCUCCUCAUAUUGCAGCUGGAUGGCAAUAGCCAGACUUCACUUAUUUAUUUAUUUCCUGCACAGAGGGGAGGAAAAUAUAGGUCUAUGAAUCAAUCUAGAUAAUGGGGAAGGCUGAACGUAAUAAAUAAUACAGUAACAACCCUAAACUAAUGAGCUGUUGCUAAGGUACAUUUCACAGGCUCAUCCUCUAUAUAAAAAGUCACUAAUAAUCCCUUAGUGUAAUCAGAUGAUAAAGCUUUGCCAUAAGGCAACACCUGUGCAAUUAAAGCUGCGGAUUCUUUUGCACGUUUCAUUAAUUUCAGGAUUUUGUAAAGGCACAAUGACUACACUAAUAAUCUAGUC